UGGAUCCAGACUUUGAUCCUGGCUCAGGAUGAACGCUGGCGGCGUGCCUAAUACAUGCAAGUCGAACGAAACUUCUUUAUCACCGAGUGCUUGCACUCACCGAUAAAGAGUUGAGUGGCGAACGGGUGAGUAACACGUGGGCAACCUGCCCAAAAGAGGGGGAUAACACUUGGAAACAGGUGCUAAUACCGCAUAACCAUAGUUACCGCAUGGUAACUAUGUAAAAGGUGGCUAUGCUACCGCUUUUGGAUGGGCCCGCGGCGCAUUAGCUAGUUGGUGGGGUAAAGGCUUACCAAGGCAAUGAUGCGUAGCCGAACUGAGAGGUUGAUCGGCCACAUUGGGACUGAGACACGGCCCAAACUCCUACGGGAGGCAGCAGUAGGGAAUCUUCCACAAUGGGCGAAAGCCUGAUGGAGCAACGCCGCGUGGGUGAAGAAGGUCUUCGGAUCGUAAAACCCUGUUGUUAGAGAAGAAAGUGCGUGAGAGUAACUGUUCACGUUUCGACGGUAUCUAACCAGAAAGCCACGGCUAACUACGUGCCAGCAGCCGCGGUAAUACGUAGGUGGCAAGCGUUAUCCGGAUUUAUUGGGCGUAAAGGGAACGCAGGCGGUCUUUUAAGUCUGAUGUGAAAGCCUUCGGCUUAACCGGAGUAGUGCAUUGGAAACUGGGAGACUUGAGUGCAGAAGAGGAGAGUAGAACUCCAUGUGUAGCGGUGAAAUGCGUAGAUAUAUGGAAGAACACCAGUGGCGAAAGCGGCUCUCUGGUCUGUAACUGACGCUGAGGUUCGAAAGCGUGGGUAGCAAACAGGAUUAGAUACCCUGGUAGUCCACGCCGUAAACGAUGAAUGCUAAGUGUUGGAGGGUUUCCGCCCUUCAGUGCUGCAGCUAACGCAAUAAGCAUUCCGCCUGGGGAGUACGACCGCAAGGUUGCAACUCAAAGGAAUUGACGGA
rnacentral:rRNA from 1 species